UACAGAGGUCUCAAGCGUUGUUCGGAUUCAUUGGGCGUAAAGGGUGCGUAGGUGGCGCGGUAAGUCGGGUGUGAAAUCUCGGAGCUUAACUCCGAAAUUGCAUUCGAUACUGCCGUGCUUGAGGACUGGAGAGGAGACUGGAAUUCAUGGUGUAGCAGUGAAAUGCGUAGAGAUCAUGAGGAAGACCAGUGGCGAAGGCGGGUCUCUGGACAGUUCCUGACACUGAGGCACGAAGGCCAGGGGAGCAAAACGGGG
rnacentral:rRNA from 1 species